UUCAUAUCAUCUCUUUAACGCAAAAAACAUGCUUAGGGAAGUAUUUCAAAGCUGUAAGACUGUUUUAAGUUCUUUGGAAACUUUGUGAGAACCUAGGUAGUCUUCGACCGCGUUUUAGGCGGCAGUUAGUGCCCUCGCGGGCAUUUGGGUUCGGAUGGCCCUCACCCUUGUCUUACAGGAAAGCUCAUUGUAUGUGGUAAUUGGGCUCCUGCACACACGCGCGCACAUACACAGCCCCACCCACAUUAUCAUCUUUGUUAGUUGUCAAAAGAUUUACAUUUUCAAAUUAUAUUUUGUGUGUGAUUAAUUUGUUUCUUGAAAAGGUUUCACCAUUGGGCACAUUUUUAAUUUCAUCAUGAAAUAAUAGUUUAAGAAGCGAACGUGUAGAAAGCACUGAUUUAUGUAGGAGAGUUCAUGACGAGAAGAAAAGCCAGUAAACAAUACACUUUGUUUCUACGUAGCUAGCCGCUACAAGUGAAAAGAUAACUUUUGUUAUAGAUAUAGACAUCUUACCGCAGAGUUAGUUCAUCCAUAAUCACAAUAAUAAAGAUGAAAGUUGCAUCUUUGUGUGUAGCUUGAAAUGCUGCGGGGGAGCAAGCGCGAAUCAGGAGUGGAGCUUAAUGUCAGCUGACUGAUGUCAUAUGACAACUACAAAGUGACGUUUAUGCGAUCUACCAGUAGCUCGCGAUCGACGUAAUGGCCCCCCCUGGUGUAUGUUAACAUGUUUAUGUUGCAAGUGUAAAACCAAAACAGUGAAAUUAGCUCCAGAAAUGUGAUUUACAAUAGAGUGAAGGUAUUGUGGGAAAAGUAAUGACGAUAUUGAAUAGAUGAAUGUUAUUUGCACUUACCUGUGACCAUUGGUACAAGAAGAACGUAAUUCUUGAAAUAUGUGAAUUUUGAAUUUCAAUAGAGACACCAUUUGGACGAAGAACUUGAGUGCUCCAUGUCUCAUUGUUGUUAUCCAUCUUUAUCAGUUCUUACAGUAUUUUGUAUCUUGUUAUUGUGGUACUAUAUUCUGGGACCCGUAGCACAUACAGUAGUUGGUUCCUGGUUCCGUGGUAAAUUGGUGCAAUGAAAAAGAGCUUUAUAAGUAUUUACAGUAAGUGCUUGUCACAGAUAGAUGUGUGACAUCCAUGUCUGUCCUUAUAUCGUCAAAUUCAAGAUUCAAGAUUCAAGAGAGUUUUAUUGUCAUGUGCAUAGUAAAACAGCAGUUAUACCAUGCAAUGAAAAUCUUAUUCUGUUCAUUCUCCCAAGAAAAGAAAGAAAACAAAUGAAAGAAUAAGAACAUAAGAAACAUAAACAUAAAUACCAAUAAAUUAAGCAACAACAACAGAAGAGACAUUAAUACAAGUAAAUAAUACAAAUAAAUAAAUAAAUAAAGUGCUAUGAGUGUGUGCGUGUGUUACGUGCGGCGUGUGCGAGUGCUUCGUUGAGGAGCCUGAUGGCCUGUGGGUAAAAGCUGUUUGCCAGCCUUGUGGUCCUGGACUUCAAACUCCUGUAGCGUCUGCCUGACGGUAGGAGUGUGAAUAAUGAGUGUUGUGGAUGUGUGCUGUCCUUGAUGAGGUUGUGUGUUCUGCAUAGGACUCUAGAUUUAUAAAUGUCUUGCAGUGAGGGGAGGGCUGCCCCCAACAAUGUUGUGUGAGGUCUUGAUCACCCGCUGGAGUGCCUUCCUAUCACGUGUUGUACAGUUACCGUACCAAACAGUGAUGGAGGCGCCACAACGACCUGUCGUGGGUGUAGUGUACCGGGCUCAAGGCUGGGCCUGGUGGGGUGCGUGCCUAUACAGCGGCAAGUGUCAAUCAAAGCUGAGCGAAAUGAGUUUCAUGGUCGCUUUCAUGGUUCUGGUCGGCCUAUGUGCCCUGUGACACUCAGUACAAAGAUGCAGUCAGACAAACACUGGAGCAGAUUGAUGUGAUCCAUAGGAUGUGUCACAAAUACCCCAACGAUUUCAUGUUUGCCACCAGCAGCCAAGACAUCAUGGAGGCAUUCAGACACAACAAGACGGCCAGUCUGAUCGGGGUGGAAAGGGCUUGUGGAGGCUUGUGGGCAGAUAUCUGCAGUGUAGACACCGGAGCAGAACCAUCUCAGCACAAUGGCCUACCUCCAUUUGACAAGGGCAGUCUACAAGGAAUAUUUGGAUUUCAAGUGAUUGCAGGAAUGAAUCGUGUGGGAAUGCUGAUAGACCUGGCUCGUGUCUGUAGGAGUGAUGAACCAAGUGUUGGACAUGUCAAAGGCACUCGUCAUCUUCAGCCACUCCUUUGCCUUCGGUGUCUGUCCACACCAGAGGAACGUUCCUGAUGAUGAUCUCAAAAGAGUGCCAGACAGGUCUGUCAUAGAACUGGGUACAGCGUACACUGAGUGAGGGCCAGCAGCAGCAGUGAUGACAGUCCAGUGAUGAUGGCGGAAAGAAGAAGCAUACCACGCCGACCAAAAUGACUGACGGUGAAGCAGAUGAAAAUGCAGGCCAGUGCUCCUGUGGCGACUCUGACAAAGUAGCUGAAGUAGAAGUUGGUGGAAUACAUGUGCAGGUUUCUGGUGAAGCAGUACUGGAUGCCUGUUCCAAUUAAGCUGGAGGCAAGAAAGUCAGUCAAGGCCAAGAAACAAGCAUGUACACACAUGACACACAUGAAAAAACACUCCUCUGUCUAAAUAUCCUCAAUAAAUAAGACAUACAGGAUUCAUGUGGUAUGUGGUUUUCAUCGAUUAGUUAAAAAACACUCACAGAGUGAAGCUGAGGAUGAGGCAGUUCUUCCAGAUAACAUGAGUCCGACGCAGCACCAAAAUGGAAUAAUACCUGGGCUGGCACUCGUCUUCGAAUACCGAUUCCACCUCUGCACACAAAAACAUUAAUUAACCACCUUCACCAACCAGAACAUUAUGUACACCCAAAUAAUGUAAUACGAUCCAACACAGUAGCUGGACCUAACAAAACCUUAACACAAAUAAUAACACACCGUUUUAAUGUCUUGAGAUGUUUUCAUUUAAUAGUAUGUUUGCACUGUAGUUUGCAGCAGUAUAGAAGAUUCACCAACAGCGCUGCAUGAUACUGAGUGGUGUUGAUUACUAUAUUUAGCCAAAUUAGAAGUAGGAAACAUACAUGUAGAUGAACCGCAUAACAUCAUAAAUACAUCACAAUAAGAGCUGGCAAUGGUCAUCAUUAUCUUUGUAUCAGUAUCUUGUAUCAUCCAGUACAUCCGUACAUUGUUGUGCACUUUGGAGAUGACCAUUUCAGUCAGUGUGUACAGCAGUGUUUAAUUGUUUUACUACAUGAGUCAUCCAAAAUAAGACUAAUGCAUCAUUAUCAAGGGCUGGAGCUGAGGGAGUCGUUUCAAAUACCUGCUGAAAAUGACAGUAUUACUGGCGUGUUCCUGCAUGUGUGUACAAGUGGUGCUGGGAGUGGGAGUACACACGGUACCUGACAACAGAGUUUCACCAGGGAACAGCUCAUCCGGCAAACACACCCCAUUCCUGGUGGAGAAUUCCUGGAGGCUCCUCUUUGCUUGAGGAAUCUGAGUUGUGGCCAGCAGCCAACGAGGGGAUUCAGGAAAAACUGAGGCACAACUGAACAAAACAAUUGAAACGAGUAGGAGCAGAGGUAACGUGGUAACAGCCUGGAGAACUGGCCAAUCGUGACACAGAACUGCGACGCCUGGCAACAGCAGCUCUGCAAAGAUGGCGAAGAAGCCGCUGACCAUGGCAACCAUGAGACGACGGGGAGGGUCGCAUAGCUCCAACCCUUGUCUGGAUUCGUGUUCCUGUUCCUGUUCCUCUUCCUCUUCCCAGUGUGAGCAUGGGGACAACAAAACGAGAAGCUCCCUUCCUGCUUACUGUUUGGCCCUGCUAUUGUUCCAAAAUCUCAGCGGAGAAUCUGCAUCCGCAGGACAUCACAAAUGCAUUUGUGUGAGGCUAACAUGAACUAACUUUCAAAAGUCUGGACUCCAUCUAGGCCUGACCUUGUAGGAAUGUGUGAAUGUCAAAACAGAAGGGCGGAUUAUAUUAAAAGUAUAAAAGUCUACCCUGUACCACCCUGCUCAGCAAAGGAAUGUGUACUGCUAUGUAGGCUAAUGUUACAUUCCCAUGCAGGUUUAUGGAGGAAACACUGUAUUGGAUACACUGUGUGCUGUAUGCAUACCAGCCUGAUCCAUUUCAGCACAGUGAUGGAAGACCCUGAGUGAAGAGAGUUGACAGGAGAUAUUCCAAAAAUCCCACAGAAAUUCUAGAGGAAAUUCCUACCCCCAUGUUUUUCAUCAAGUAAAAGUAGCUGAUUGCAAUAAAAAUGCCAUUAAUGUGAUAUAUGUACUGUUUUUACCAACUUGCUUUCAGGAGUUCACAGUGAACACGAUCAUGCUGACUGAUGCCACAGCUGAUGUGAUCCUAUUACAACAUGGUGCUGCUCUCUCGCCAUGUGCUCAUAUGCAAUACUAUAUGUCUUGUUGCCGUUAUGUCUUCAGGCAAAAUACAGUGUGGAAAAUUUGAUCCACUGCUAAUUUUGUAUGUUACCCCUUACAGAGAUAUGAACAGGCCAUGAAGUACACCAUUUAGUCCUGUGCCUUCAUCAAGAAACUUGGUUGAAAAGAGGCCACUGUUGGCAUGAUAAUUCAGAAAUGAAAGAAAUACUGUGACAGCCGUUUUCAGUAUUACCGUAAUUUCCGCUGUAUAAGCCGCUACUUUUUUCUUAAACUUUGAACCCUGCGUCUUAUACAGCGGUGCGGCUAAUUCGUGACAAUCUUCUAAUCCUGUGACAUCUCCUAUACUUCAGAACUACUACUAAUCGUUUAAAUACUGUGCCACUUGGGAGUCACUGAGGAAACGGUAGCUCUUUCUUUGGCAGGAGCCAAUCACGAGCUAUAAGGGAUGCCGGGCUGAGCUACCAGAGAGAGCUCAGAAGCUCAUGAGCAGCCAUGGUAGCCAUUGCUGCUCUGCUGGGAACAAUGUAUUAUAGGAAGUUAAAAUAGUUGCUGUUUUUUAUUUUGAACUCAUAUUAGUACUUGUCUUGUAUAUUUCUUAGCUAACUUUUGAGUGUUAAGUUGCUGUGUGAUGAUGUUAGCGUUCUACCUAAGAUGACACUGUGAGUCAGACUGUAAUAUUGAGUAAUGACCUCCUGUGGUUGACAAACCCCCGUUGAGUUUUGUCAUAGCUCAUGAUUGGCUUCUGUCAAAUAAAGAGCUGCCUCGUCCUCACGGACUCAUGCACACCACAAUACUGUAUUUUUAUGGCAUGGACAUGUGCGUCUUAUAGUCCGGUGCGGCUUGUAUAUGUACAAAUCUGUUUUUCCUCUCUAAAUUUAGCGGGUGCACUUUAUACAUCGGAAAUUAUGAUAAAUAAUUCCAAAACAUUGAAAACCGAAGCAAUUUUUCCAUGGGAAAUUACAGUAUGUAAAUAAAUCCAUGAAUUCCAUUAAUCCAAA